rnacentral:rRNA from 2 species
CCAGCUCCAAUAGCGUAUAUUAAAAUUGUUGCGUCUAAAAAGCUCGUAGUUUGAAAACUUGCCUUGGCCGACACCCGGUCCCGAGUGGGCCACCGUUUGUCAGGUGCAAAUAUGGAUGACUGUUCUUGCCGGCUUUACUGUUUGGCUCGCGCGGUCAUCAAAUAUCACUUUGAUUAAAUUAGAGUGCUCAAAGCAAGUGUUUACACUUGAAUAUUGCGUGCAUGGAAUGAUGGAAUAUGUUGUUGUUCUAUUUGUUGGUUUUUGAACGAUGAAAUGAUUGAAAGGAACGGUUGGGGGCAUUCGUAUUGUUGUGAGAGAGGUGAAAUUCUUAGACCACAGCAAGACGAACUACUGCGAAAGCAUUUGCCAAGAAUGUUUUCAUUGAUCAAGAACGAAAGUUAGA